GCUACAUGAACAAACUGAGAGAUCCCUGAAAACCUCUUUCCCCUUUCUGUGGUCACCUAUGUCAGUUCAAUAUCUAGGAAUAUACCUUCCUAAACACUCAUCUAAACACUUUGAAUUGAAUUACAUGCCCCUGUUGUAGACUAUCUCUCAAGACCUAACUAAAUGGCACAAGCCACACUUUGGGUGGCUAUGCCGCAUAAACAUUAUAAAGAUGAACGUGCUCCCCAAAAUCCUGUACCUGUUACAAACUAUCCCUAUAACUAUACC